rnacentral:rRNA from 1 species
GAUGAACGCUGGCGGCGUGCCUAAUACAUGCAAGUCGAACGCAUAGCGAAAGGUGCUUGCACCUUUCAAGUGAGUGGCGAACGGGUGAGUAACACGUGGACAACCUGCCUCAAGGCUGGGGAUAACAUUUGGAAACAGAUGCUAAUACCGAAUAAAACUUAGUGUCGCAUGACACAAAGUUAAAAGGCGCUUCGGCGUCACCUAGAGAUGGAUCCGCGGUGCAUUAGUUAGUUGGUGGGGUAAAGGCCUACCAAGACAAUGAUGCAUAGCCGAGUUGAGAGACUGAUCGGCCACAUUGGAACUGAGACACGGCCCAAACUCCUACGGGAGGCUGCAGUAGGGAAUCUUCCACAAUGGGCGAAAGCCUGAUGGAGCAACGCCGCGUGUGUGAUGAAGGCUUUCGGGUCGUAAAGCACUGUUGUAUGGGAAGAACAGCUAGAAUAGGAAAUGAUUUUAGUUUGACGGUACCAUACCAGAAAGGGACGGCUAAAUACGUG